GUGGCUCAGGUGGCCAGACCAUUGUCGUAUCAGGAGGUGGAGGUAGCCAAGGCUCUGGCUCUGGCAUUGGAGGAGGGUGUGGUGGGGGCUCUAUGCAGACAAAGCAACCCAUUUCCAUCCCACCUUGCAUGGGUCAAACUAAGCAACCUUGCCAAUGGCCCCCCAGCCAGAAGUAAAGGAUUCCCAGUUGUUAUUUCAUUCUGCACUAUGUGUUCUUCCAUUUAGGAGAAUUGGACCAAUGUGCCAGUUUAUUUCCUCUUCGUUUUGCAUCUUUGCAUGUUGUGUGCCUCGUUCUCUGCCUCAUUUGCAAGCCUCUGUAUGUCUUCUCUGUAUUGUGUUUGUUUGCUUUUAUUGCAUGAUCAAUGUAGUGUUAUUUUUUAAAAAAAUGUGAAUAUUUAUAUCCUUGUAUUGGAGGAGUGUUUGGUAAUAUCCUCCAACCGUUUCCUGCUUCAGUGUCUCCACUAACGCAUGGGGGAUAAUAAAGCUUAUUUGAGAACUCA